rnacentral:lncRNA from 10 species
ACCUCAGAGAAUACAGAGGUUGUCAAGUAAACCCUGGGGCUGCUAGAGGUUCAUGUGAGGACUAAGAAGUCUCUGGUGAGUGAAUAUGACUCCCCAGCGAUCAUCACCAUUGCCUGCACUCCACUGCAUCUCAACAGGUAGCUCCUGGAGCAUUCUUUUCACAAGGUCUUCUUAAUACCAACCCUUUGUUUCUUACCUGCAUCCAUCAAUCUCAAUUCUGCACUGCCUUGAGGAAGUUGUAGCUGCAAGAAUAUGGCCUGAUUGAUGCUAAAAUGUUUGCAGAGAGCUUGCCUAAGAAGGAGAUCCCAUGCAAAAAGAAGAAUCAUCAAUCAUCAGGAGAGGGAAGGCAGAAGGCUGAAGCUCAGAAGAAGGAAGAGAAGAAGGUAGGACUUCACUAGACUCUGGUCUGGAGGAGAAAUUGCAUAUGUAAAUAGAAAUGCUGCUGAGCCCAUGACUAAGGACACCUUUGUUCAUCUUCCCAAGAAUACUUGCGUGUUGGAUGAGUGUAGGUGCAAAAUCUCCCAUGAAAGCACCCUCUCUACAGUGCUAUCAUAUUUCCAAGAGCAUUUAGUUGAGAUGACUAGUAUUUGUGGUAUGAUGAACACAGCAUACCCAGCACUCACUCCGACCCUUACGAGUCCUAACCUAAUCACGGGGAUGCUGGACAGUGGUUGGACAAACUGAGGCAAAGGCCUUCAGUAGUGUCUUCCUCUUUAGAAUCAACUUUAUUUUUAGACUCUGGGCCAGAAGAUUGCCUUCCCACUGAGUCCAAGUUGGAAGAUGUGCUGUGAGUAAAGUAAUUGGCAUGGUGGUAACUGAAACCUAGAAAGGAAGAGAACUCAUCACCAUUUGAAAGUGUCUUCCAGAAUGUAGGCAGAGUCUUCAAUUGGGGCAAAAUCAUCAAG